rnacentral:rRNA from 1 species
AUUGAACGCUGGCGGCAUGCCUAACACAUGCAAGUCGAGCGGAUGAAGGGAGCUGGCUCCUUGAUUCAGCGGCGGACGGUUGAGUAAUGCCUAGGAAUCUUCCUGGGAGUGGGGGAUAACGUCCGGAAACGGGCGCUAAUACCACAUACGUCCUGAUGGAGAAAGUGGCGGAACUUCGGACCUGAGGCUAUCAGAUGAGCCUAGGUCGGAUUAGCUAGUCGGUGGGGUAAUGGCCUACCAAGGCGACGAUGCGUAACUGGUCUGAGAGGAUGAUCAGGCAAACUGGAACUGGGACACGGUCCGGACUCCUACGGGAGGCAGAAGUGGCGAAUAUUGGACGAUGGGAGAAAGCCUGAUCAAGCCAUGCCGCGUGAAUGAAGAAGGUCUUCGGAUUGUAAAGCUCAAUAAGUUGGGAGGAAGGGAAGUAAGUAAAAGCCGGGCUGUUUUGACGGUUCCAACAGAAUGAGGCCCGGCUAACUUAGUG